rnacentral:lncRNA from 1 species
UCAUGACUAGUAUCGCCAGAUCCAAACAUGUGUUGAAUUCAGAUAGACCGGAGAAACUGAUAAGGUAGCCUCCCUUCCCUUUCUAGCCUUUGCUUACUCAUAUGUGGCUUCUUUUAUCCAUUGUCUUCUCCAAUCUUCAUCACUUCUUUCAUACACAUCUGUAGACAGUGGUAAGGUUGUGAAGCUUGCUAGAUAUAUAGUUUAAUUUGUCGUUGGGCUAUUAGAGAGGGAGGGGGAGAGAACUCACUAGAGUGGGGAAGGGCGGUGGCGCUGGCUCGAUUGAGCUCAGGAGAGGGGGAGGAGAGUGUCCG